GGCCCAUUAGCUCAGUUGGUUAGAGCGUCGUGCUAAUAACGCGAAGGCUGCAGGUUUGAGAUCUGCAUUGGCCA